CUCUAUCAGGCCGCUGUCUCUGGGAAUUAUGUCUGGACAAAAGCAGAAUUUGCUGUGGCUGAUGAUCAUCUGUUGUGUUUUACGCCAGAUAACCUGCUCAGAUGAACUGAUAAUCCAAGUCAAUUCAUCAGAUCAGUGUUUCUGGAACCAAAGUAACUCAACAAUUCCAGAUAUAAAAUGGACAUGUCUGACAGCUGAUGAACCAACAGGAACUGUUAAACUAAAUAUCUCUACUCUUGG